CGCACGUUCAAAUAAUCAAUCGAAUAUCCGGAGUGAAAUUUGAAAAUUUUUACGCAAAGUCAACUCCAUGAUGAAGGAGUCCUACACUAUGAAGGAAUCAUCUUUUUGAAGAAAAAGGGCCAGAUCCAUCCAGCAGGAAUCAAGAGGGUAGUGACGCCACAUUCAAAACGCCAAUUCUAAUUUCGCCUCCAAUAAUAGAACAAUUGCGGCUUUCGGCCGAUAAACGCCCCAUUAUCAGACUUUCAGAGGUUAAUUAAAAGUUAAUGGCUUUUCCGCAGACUUUCCCCCUCGCUUUCCCCCAAUUACAAAAAUUCCACCUGCGCUUAAUCGCGUCGAGCUUAAUCAGUUUUUUUCUCAAUUUCGAUUUCGUUAAUUAUGCAAAGAAACUCGCCCGGGUAAAACUUCCAUUUAUCAGCUUUUAAUGGUCAGCAACCGAUUCCUGAUAAAGAGCCUGCGGUCGCAGCCGUUUUUAAUUGUUAUCUACAUUGUCCACAUUUACAGGAAGCGGACCCCACCCGACAGGAAAUCUAUAAAAGUUCCAGCGAUCGGCCAUUAUUAUUCAUUUCGCAUUACGUUGCGCGGGCUAUUAGUGAACUUCGGGUUUGGGGUGGAGAAUUGAGAACUACUUGCAAUGCGGCUCGUCAUCGGGUAGCAUCUAGCUUGAUUUUGAAUGCUAGCUGCCUUAUGAAGGGCAACAUGGCUUUAGUUGACUCGUCAGGGGAGAAGUCGCCAGUCGCCACCUGAAGGUUUGGAUUUAGCACUGCUAGAGGUAAGUUUGUUCAUUACUAGUUCCAGUUUUUCUUCGCCUGGAGGAAUCGGGGGCACCACUUUGGUCGACAAGAAGAAACUGUUGGGUCUCCAAAAGCUUUGGACGAAGUCGAAAAAGUAGGCACCCUGACAGGGAUUAUUGCAAUAUACUCCUAUGUAAGGUAGGACCAUUAACUAUCAGAGAAAAUAUUGUUCAAGUUUAUCAAAGUGUUUCAAAUACUAUACCUAAGGCAGUUGGUUGUUUGUGUACAAAAAUAUGUAUAAAUAUAAAGACCUUUUUGUUUUA